UCCCAGACCUCAUGUUAAGAUGGCUCUAGAGAAGCUUUACUAAAGUAUAAAUUAAGCUCAGAGGAAACAAAUGUUAGGUUCCAUAAACAAGUCAAGAUGGCGCCUGGCAUUUUUCCAGAGGGAGUGUUUUGUGAAGUAAUGCCUGGGAGUCCUUAAGGUGAUAGAGUUUCCCCAGCCAGACUGCGGCAAACAAGAGCUUCAGAAACAGACUCCUGCUUCUGGGGUUCUCCCCAACAAAAAUCGCUCUGUCUCUGGAUGUUGCAGAUUUAGGACCUCAGCAAACACCAAGAGAAGAGAUGAAAAGAGCCACUUUGAAUGAGCAUGAUAUGAGAAGGGAGAUCAAGUAUUGGUGCCUGAAGAUUCUUAUCUCUUCAAACUCAAACUCACAUCCUAAGUCCAGAGUCCUGCAGGGAAAUCAGGUGCUUGGAGGUUGCAGUAUAAAGAAGGACGUGUGACUAGUGAGAAGGUAGAGAAGCUGUAGGCUGUGAUUGCUCUUGCUCUCCCUGAGUGCACGUCCUUGGGACUUACUUCAUUCUUCAAGGUCUUCAAAUCUGACAUGAGGACCAAAGCUGGACCCAUUCCUCUUCUUUACUUUGGAGUCAGAGC